UUUAACCUAAGAAGAGGAAAAGCAGGUGUCUGGAGAGGGCUACAGGUCAUGUCCUGUCCCAUCAGGCACCAUCACCCCUCCCUGAAAGCCUAACAGCCAGCCCUGCCUGAUCUCGUUAAUCUAGAGAAAACCGAGACUGGGCCUUGCCUCCCAGACAUGACUACAGACAGUGCCUGCGAAGGAACGUAGCCUUUCAGAUCCUAUCGCCAUGAUGUCACGAGAUGGAUUAGUGGCAGUUACACACUGAUGAGAUCUACAAGAUUAGACAGUGUCUUAACCCACUCUCUUUUGAGAUGUAAAAGAGAGAAGCAAGUGUAGAGCCAUGAGGACCUCAUACCACCAAGAAUGAAGAGCAGGAGUGCGCAUCUUUUGGACCUGGGGUCCCUGCACUGAGAAGCACCUCAACCAGGGGAAGACUGAUGACAGGGAACUUCCUCCAGGGCUGCGAAAAGAGGGCCUUACCCUGGAGCCGAGGCCCUGAAUUUGGACUUGUAGACAAUAGACCAUGAGAGAAUAAAUUUCUCUUUGACGAAGCUAUCCAUUUGUGCUAUUUCUGUUAUAGCAGCACUAGAUGACUAAGACAUGGCCUAAUGACGUGUUUAGUGCUUCUGUUCUACCUCCUAGUUCAAUGCGUAGCGCCUGGGAUCUAAAAGCUUGCAAGUGACCGUCCAAGGCACAACAAUUGGUCUCUAUUCGCCUGGAACAAUGGAGGACGGACAGUCAGGAAUAGGAGGAGGAUAUGGGAUGUGUGGCUAAUUGCCACCAUGAACAACUGCCUUCUUUGCCAUGAGAUCAGAAGAACUGGACGGUGGCCCGGCCACCAUUACUGAACAUUUUAAUCAAAAAUUCCAUAAAGGAACUCUGAUCAAAGAGGGAAAACACAGAACAGAAUUUAAAAUUCUCAUGGACUCCAGACUUUCUGGAGCUAUGGAGAGUGGAUGAACGCCUGAAACUAUCACCCUGAGAUAAUCUUUAAAGCUUAAACCAAAAAUAUCCCCUGAAGUCUUCUUAAAACCAAACAAUAGUUCAGCUCAACUAGUUUAAAAAAAAAAAAAAAAGUCUGCCUUGAGCAUUAUGCUCUUUUAAGAACUAUCUAUAUGGAAUCAAACUGACAACAGCAACUCCAAAGAUUAGAUAGGAACCCUAGGGAGCAGUGAACUUAUGUUAAUGGGGGAGAAAGAACUCAGAACAGGAGGAUGAGGAUGGUUACACAACUUGAAGAAUGUAAUCAAUAUCCAUCAGUGGUACACUUAGAAGCUGCUGCAUUGGUGUACGUUUUGCUGUGUAUAUUCCCCACAGAAACAAAAUUAUACAUACACAAAAAAGAUAACGUUGGGAGACACAGCCUGCAAAGCAUUUUCACAAACAUUAUCUUGUUCCAGUCUCAGGGCACAAACCUGCUCCUCUCUUCACACAUGACUCGGAGAGUACGUGGCAGAAGGAGACUCAAUCCCAGGGGCUGGGCCACUGAUCCAGUGUUUGCUCCACCAGCCACACAGUCUCCCCCUGCGGGCGCCUCCAUCCAUGGUGUAAGGACUUCGGCUCACUAUCACUCCCCCAGCCUGGCCGAGAUAAGGCCUGGGGCCCUAGGGCCCCUCAGGCAACUGCUCAGCAACUCACUCUCACCGCCCCUCUUGCCUGGUUCUGGCUGACUUGCCACCACAGUGCCACCGAGGCCCUACCCUCCACACUGAGGGAGCUGUGAGGAAAAGAGGGACCUCCGAGUGGAAGGUCUUGGGGCUGCAUGCCGGGCUGAAAGAGCAUGAGCUGUGGCAUCCAUUCGACAGAGCAGGCGGUGCUCCUCCUGCACCCCUGGGGGACUCGUGAAAGCAACCUGACCUGCGGGAAAAUGGGGCGCAAUGCCAGCCUCACAGAACAGCUGUAAGGGCAGGGCGGAAGCUAGCACCCCUUCCCAGUAAACGCCAGCUCUCACAGCCCAACGCGCCCCUGAAGGAGCAAAGGUGCAGGAAGAAAGUGUGACUCCAGGGACGCAGGAAGCACAGAACCUUGGGUUCUCUCCACGGCAUCUUGUUUCCAAGAACACGAAGUAUGUCUAAUUCCCAAGCACGAGCAGCAGGAGGGCCAGCCCCAGGUCUCCAGGAGAUUUACGGGCUCAUUCAUGCACGGGAACUGGCAAGCCAGGCAAUCCCGGGGUGCAGCCUAGGAUCGCCGUGGCCCGAGACUGCAGAUAAUUAAAGAGCACUUAAACGCCUUGCUGUCUGCACAUGGGGCAGGAGCCUGGCUACAGCAGGGGGGCCAGAGACAGGCAGGGGCUCUCCCCCAACCCAGCACAACAGGAAAAGUGGUCCCUACUGUUCCAGUAGGCGCUGCCCCUGCCUUGUGGAAGUAAGGCCAUCCUGUAGGGACACAGGAAGAUUCACCCAAUUAAAAUGGGAAAUAAGCACAGUGAACAGAAAAGCUCAUUGUGGUUAAGUGUCUUCCCCCAAGGGAUCUUCUGUAAUAAAAAGAGUGUGGGAUUUUGAGUCUAGAGACCUGGAUUUGAUUCUCAGCUCUUACAUUGACUAGCGGUGCGACUCUGAGCAAGUUACUUAAGCUCUUUCGGGCAAGUCAUUCAAUUUCUCAGAACCUCAGUGUCCUCAUCUGUAAAAUGGGGCUAACAAUGUGUGUACCUCACAGGAAUGUUGUGAGGAUAAAGUAACAUAAUGUACUGGAUAUAAGAAUUCUUUAUGGUAACGGCUUCUGUAUUUUAAUCUUUACAACUCAGUAAGGCAUGUGCUCUCGUUUCUUUGAUGACAAAACUAGGCACAAAGGGGUUAGCUAACUUUCAGGGUCACAGAGGCAGUGAGCAGAGUUCUUGGCUUCACUGUCGCAUUCUCAGAGGUCUUCCUAGAGCCCUCCUGCACACCCAGACUGUACACUCACGAGGCAGAGGCCCAUCUGCUUAAGUCACCAACGUCCACCCAGUGCUCAGCAAGCAGGAGGUACACAAUUUACAACUACUGAUUCCAAUCCCGGUCUGCACCUAAAGGCCAUGCUCCUUCCACAUCUACAUCACAAUUAGAUUUCUAUGGCGCUUCUUGUUAUAAGGAGUCCCUGAGUGGUGCAAACGGUUAAUGUGCUCGGCUGCUAACUGAAAGCACAGCUCCAAAACAUCAGCCACUGAAAACUCUAUGAAGCGCAGUUCUACUCUGACACACGUGGGGUCUCCAGGAGUCUGAAUGGACUUGAGGGCAACUGGUGUUUUGGUUUUCUUGUUACAAAGUGCUACAAAACAUUUGCAGCUGUGAAACGCCUCCCUUCCUCCUCCUAGCAAGAUUAGACCCUCCACGCGCAGUUCUCUCACUGCUAGGGGUCAGAGAGAAAUUAAAACACAUCCAGAUGGCUAAGGGGGUACUUUGAGCAAAGCAAACUUUGCACCUGUUGGAUUUUCUGGUCCAUCCCACACAGUAUCAGGACCUGAAAGAACCUGUUUUUGGUGAAGGGAGACAAAGAUCUAAGUUCUAAUUCCUGAAAGACAAUGCAUGUGUGGCAGCGCAGGGACAAGAACUCUGGAGACUGGUGCUCCAGCUGACGCCACUCUCUCCUCUGCCUGAGGCCAGGCCGUCCAAUAGAGCAGGGCCCCUGGCAGAGGUGAGCACUAUGAAUGAUGACCUUCCUGAUACCCAGGUGGGGUGCCCCCUGAUGAGGAAAGAGGGUAGCAAGGGGAUUCUAGCUGUUUCAGGGAGCAAAAUUCAAGUCACUCUGUUGUAGUGAGUUUUAACCAGAAUAGACUUUGUAGGCACAACUCCUGAGAAACACAUCUGAAAAGCAUGAAGGUAUACAAUACUGCAAGGGUCAGAGUAUCUCUUGUUGUGUGCCACCAAUUCAAUUCCAACUCACAGGGACCCUAGAGGACAGAGAAGAAUGGCCCCAUAGGGUUUCCUAGACUGUAAUCUUUACAAGAGCAUAUCUCCAGGUCUUUUUUCCCUCAGAGUGGCUGAUGGGUUAAAAUCGCCAACCUUUCGGUUAGCAGCUGAGUGCUUAAGUGUUGUGCCACCAGGGCUCCUACAGUACCUCUAGGACCUGCCAGUUCAACUCAGCUAAUGAGGAAGUGCUCAGCCAGAAUGGCAAGUUAUGCUUCUUGUUUUCUGUUCAGUCCGUAGUGGCCGAUGCUGGGUAGACACUUACCCAGCAAUACUGGGGACACAGGCUUCACUUAGGUUAGGCAAGAGCUGGGGUCUGGAACCUCACACCCAAAUCUAGGUUAAAUACACCUAACUUCUCCAGACUUGAGAUUUCUACAUACAAAGCACGUCAUACCCAACAUACUUUGUUGAAACAAGAUGAAUGCUUGUGUUUCGAUAUGGAUUAGAGGACUACUUUUGUCUAACAGUUCAUUUGUUCAGUCAAUAAAGUUUUGAGUGAGAAAAAAAAUCUAGGUUAAUAACAGUAGGGACAAACCCAAUGGGUUAAAAAUAGCACAAAUCUAUUUUAGAUAACCAAAGCCAAGGCUGAGAAUUAACAGGCAAAAAUAACAGCCACUGCUUAUAUGGCACCUACUUGGCAAUUUACAUCUGUUAUCUCAUUUAAUCCUCACAACGGGCCCGUGGGGGAGGGAUUAUCAUUCCUGUGAUAUGAAUGAGGGCAGUAAAAUCCAGAAAGGCCGUGAUCAUGAGACUAUCGGGCAAAGAUGGGGCUGGAACCCAGGUUAUCUCUGGCUCCGAAGUCAGGGCUCCCUAAAGAUGAUGGAAAUUCCAUGUAAAUACUAACACAGACAGGUGCCCUGGUGGCACAACGGUUAAGCACUCAGCUUCUUCCUGAAAGGUUGGCAGUUCAAACCCACUCAGAAGCUCUUUGGGAGAAAGACCUGGCGAUUUGCUCCUGUAAAAGGUUAACCAAACCAAAAGCCAAACCCAUUGCUGUCAAGUCGAUUCCAACUCCUAGUGACCCUACAGGACAGAGAAGAACUGCCCCAUAGGGUUUCCAAGGCUGUAAAUCUCUACAGAAGCAGACUGCCACAUCUUUCUCCUGCAGAGUGGCUGGUAGGUUCCAACCUCAGACCUUCUGGUUAGCAGCUGAGUGCUUUAACCACUACACCACCAGGGCUCCUUUCUUGUAAAGAUUACAGCCUAGAACACCCUAUGGAGCAGUUUUACUGUCACAGGGUUUACUGUGAGUUGAAAUCAACUCGAUGGCACCUAACAAAAACUAAUAUGGACAAUACCAUCCAGAGCCAGGCACAUUUUUUGAAGGGCGAUUGAUAUGAGCCACGUAACUGGAACACACCAAUAACUUCUGCGGAACCAUCUAUCAGCACAGACCAGGAAGGACACUGAGAUGCAUCUCCAGGCUGCCUUGCCCAGAGCAGGUGGUCAGUAACCACGGGCGCUGAGGCCAUCACCAGUGUCCCCUAUCUUCCCCCUACAUACCUUCCGCACAGUGUCGUCGUCCCUCCCCACCCCCCACUGUCAAGCCACCUGCAGUAAUAAAACCACUAACAACCCAAGUAAUAAAGAACCACUUCCCUGCAUCUAAGGGGUGUUGGGAGCAGAUCUCUGUUGGAACAGGAGAGAACGUUUGAGAAGGAGGAACCUGGUGGAGAGGUUUAGAAAGUGUACGGGAGCCGGCAUCGCAGAGUCCGGGCAGCGGAAAGGGAUUCGGGAGACCCGGAUGGGGUAUGGCUCCCCAGUAACUGCCCUGUGGUCUUGCUGGGUGCCUUCCUCUCUCUAGGCCUCAGUUCCCUCCAAACCAGGGCUGGCCAACGAUAUAGGAAGCAGCGGAGUCAGUGACAGCUAGGUGAUGGGUGACCCCUGGAGACUGGGGAGGGUGACCUCAAGGACGGAGCUGGGGGAGGGGAGGCCACGAGGAUAACAGGUCAACGAGGAAGGAAGCAGAGGGAGGGAUGCGAGGGUGGGGGGCCCCCGAGGGGGUGGGGUCCCGGAGGAGGCUCCCCAGGGGAGUCCCGGGCUAGGCCGAGAGUGGGGACACUUAGAAUGGGGGAGUCGGGUCAUGUGGGGAGUGGGGGUCACGUGAGACCGAAGGCGGUCGGGGUCACGUGAGAAGGGGUUCAAGGAACAAUAGGGGCGAAGGGGACGAGGGCAGGGAGGAGCGCUCCUGGGCCUUCCGUCUCCUCUCCUGACCUCACUCACCCCCAUGGUGGCGGCGGCGGCGACCCUCAGCUCCUUCACACACUUGCUGGCAGGGAGACGACAACGGCAGCCACAGCGGCAGCGGCGACACCAAAGCAGCGGCGGGCCCCGCGCCGCGCAUGCGCCUCGCAGGCUCCCCGCGCGCCCUCGCGGGCAACGCGCCGGCGCAGAACCGGGCAGGGGGGCGAGCCCGGGAAGGCGCGCAGGUGGAGCGCCCUGGAGGCGGGCCCGAGGGUCUCUCACUAAAAAGAGGCGGGAGGCGCCGAGGAGCGUCGCGCUAGGAAUGACGUAUCGGCCUGGGGCCCGCCCCCUUUUCGCUGGGCUGUGUCUGUAGCUAUGACAACGGCCGCGCCGGGCUUGGCCGUGCGCCCCAGCUUGGAGAAGCGCUGGGCAGCCGGGUGGGUGUGCCCGCCGCCCCUGCGCUCCGCGUGUUCCCGGGCCAGGCGGGAGCAGCCGGCGUCACGACCUCCGAAGGACCUGCUCCUCCUGCACCCCUCUCCGGCACGGGGCGGGGAUGUCUUUGGAAACGCUCCCAUCUUCUAGAUCUUGAGCUCUUGAAAUUCCUUUUCUAAGCAGUCUUGCUUUUCCAUUCGUCCGUCGUCUGACCAUUCACUCACCCUCCAUUCACUCGCUCUCGCAAUAACUAGCCUUUCGCAUUUACAAAUAAUAAUAAUAAUAAUAAUUUUUUUUACUUUCACGCUGAGUCCACGGGACACAGAGAGGAGCGAGAUGCCAUCGAAGCCCAGAGCUUCAUGCCCUUCUCUCCUUGUAAACAGUGAGGACAGGCAUGUAACGACUGUUUAAUAGAGAGUGAAUGGUACUAUUAAAACGUACCUUUAAACGAGACAUCGGGGGACCCAGAGAGUGUUAAUUUCUGUACCUGCAGAUGAGAGUAUGACCUCCACACGACCUGCGUCAGAAUCACCAGGGAACUUGUGCAGCGUGCACACUUCUGAAGCUACCCGGGAAUCUCCAGGGGUGAGGCCAGAGUCUUCACUUCUAAGAGCUCCCCAGGACCACUCUGGCUGCUGAGUUGAGAAGAAAGCCUAGGGACCAGGUCAAAAGAAGACCAGCACAGAGACCACCCUAUAAUCAAAGCAAGAGAUGACAGUGCUUGUACCAGCAAGGUAGCAGUAGAGGUGGGAGAAAGGAUUCUGGGGACAUGUUGAAGGCAGAGCCAACAGGGUUUGCUGAUGGAUUAGAUGUGGGGUGUUAGGGAAAAGAGAGGAGUCAAGAUACCUUCAAAGUUUUUUGCUUGAGCUACUGGGAAAAUGGAGUGGCAUCAACUGUGGUGGGGAUGACUUUGUAGGAGCAGGUUGGGGGUGGGGGUGGGGGAAGAUCAGGAAUUCCAUUUUGGCCAGGUUGGGUUUGAGAUGUUUUUUAGACAUUCAUGAGGCAAUGGGGAAUAGUAAGAGCCUGGAGCUCAGGGGAGAGGUCCAGGCUGGAGACACGAUUUCAGCACAGUCAGCAUCAUGGUGGUACUUAGGGCCGGGAGACUGGAUGAGACCAAGGAGGAAUGUGUGAAUAGAGGAGCUAGAAUAUGUGACUCUUCAGCCUCUGUACCCUAGUCAGCAUUUAGAAAGCCUGGUUUCUAAUGCCCAGAAGAGGGAGCUGAGGGUGGGAGGAGGGUGGCCAAGGUGGGAAGAGGAGGCAUCUGACCUUGCCCUUGAAGAAGAAGGAGGCGAAGAGAUGCCACCAGAGGGAAUGGCAUGUGCAGAGCCAGGGAGGCACGAAGACAUGAAGGAAGGGUGGGCUGUCGAAUGAGGCCCACCCUUCCCGCAGCCCAUCUCCCUACCCGUCCCCCCGCCGCAGCCCAGUCUACCCAGCCCUGUUUUAGCUUCUCCUGUCUCCUCACCUGCAUUGGACUUCAUGGUUGGCUGUUUUCAGUGAACAGAUGACUGCCACCAUGAUCCACUUGUCCUCUGACCCUUCUGCCACUCCCCACUCAGGCCACCCCUCCCCCCAGGCUGCUAGAAUUUGCUGAAGACCAGACAAGGCCUGUGGUCCCUUGGGGAGGUGACAUCAUCCAGGCCACUGGGAGGCCUGAGGAGGCCCAGUGCCCUAUCCCUGCCCCAGAGCAGUGACCUCUUCCUGGGGGCUACCCACCCCCCUUGCAGGCGCUCUCCCCUGCAGGGGGCUUCCUUGGUCUCCUGUGGUAGAGGACAGAGCCUGCUUUACAGUCAGAUGAGCCUUGAGUUUAAACCCCCACUCUGCUACUUAUAAAGAGCCCUGGUGGCACAACGGUUAAGCAUUUGGCUGCUAACUGAAAGGCUGGCGGUUUGAACCCACCCAGUGGCUCUGGGGAAUAAAGACCUGGCGGUUGCUCCCAUAAAGAUGACAGCCUAGGAAACCCUAUGGGACUCAACAAUAACAAAAUACAAUGAAAUAAAACAACAAAAAUAAAUUAUUAAAAAAACCCUAUGGGGCAGUUCUACUCUGUCACAUGGGGUCCCAAUGAGUCAAAACUGACUGCUGCUUACUGGGUUUGUAACUUUAGCAAGGCACCUAAUCUCUCUGAUACUCAAUUUCCUUAUUUAAAAAAUGAAAUCACCAAUGACAACCCUCUUCAUCAGCGGCAGCAUCUUCUUCCAGGGCUGGUGAUGGGAAUUCAGUGACAUAGGGUGGAACUCAAGCACCUGGCAUGGCCUCGGCCGGGAGAGGAGCACCCCCCCCAAAAAAAAAACAUAUCCCCCUCCCUCCCUUCCCUGUCAAACACCUGCUCCUAUAGGUCUGGCUGUCCAUACUGUCUCAUCAUUCACUCACAGCUCCAGGGCCCUGCAGGGAUCCCAGGUGCCCCUUCUCCACUCUCCUCCUCUCCGACACUGUCCUCCCUUCUCCCAGACCCCCACCCUCCUUCUGCCUCCUUCCUGGACUCCUCCCCUUCCCCCAAACGCUACCCUUUGCCCUCUUCCUCUCUAUAGCCCUCAAUUGCUGCCAAGUAUUCAUUCAUUCAUUGACUCAGCCAAGGCAAAGGAGCGGCAUCUUGAGCUCUGCGCUAUCCUCUUUGCUGAGGCUCAGACUUAGGGGCAAAUUCUGCCCAUGGGGGAGUGACAGUCAUUGCCCUGUGAUCAGCUGGCAGAUGGGAGUCCCCAACUUCCUCAAAGAACCAGAUUACACCUCCUCCUCCUCCUCCUAGGGGCUGAGCCACCUCACCCCCUCAGGGCCCCUCCUUCCCCUACCUUCCUCAACCCUGCUCCCCACUGGCCCCUGCAGGCUCUCAGGCCUUGCAUCCAGACUCACAGACUUUGGGGAAAAGUGGUCCACCCUGUCCCUACCUCCUUGCUUCUCAUGCCACCUGCUGCAGCCUGGCUCUGUUCCCACCCCCACCCCUCCCCCCGAUGCCUCCAGCACUGUGGCUCCAUCCUUAUCUUUCUGGACCUUCCUGCAACAUCUGGCCCUGUUCUGCGCUCCCUCUGCCUUUGAAACACUGCUUCCUUGGCUCCUGUGAUACCACACACCUGUGUUUCUCUCAAAUGCACCUCUGAUCCGAACAGUGGAGCCCUGGUGGUGUAGUGGUUAAGCAUCCGGCUGCUAACCAAGAAAUUGGCAUCUUGAAUCCAUCAGCUGCCCCUUAGAAACCCUGUGGGGCAGUUCUACUCUGUUCUGUAGGAAUCUACUCGACAGCAACCGGUUUGUUUUUUUUGGUUUUUAUGAGACCAGUUAGAGCUCCUCACUGGCUCCAAAUCCUGUAAGGGCUGUAGAGCCGGCCCCUGCCUACCUGGGCAGCCUCCCUCUGUCUGCUCCCAACCUUGUGGUCCAGUUGCCAAUUGUGGCCACCUGGACCUUUUUCCCCCUUAGGUGACUCCUCUACACCCUUCAGGUUCCAGCUAUCACUUCCCGCCAGAAGCCUUCUCUCUUUCUCUCCAUGUGGCUGCCAGCCACUUUCUGGGGUCUCCCAAUGCCUUAUUCUUCCCCCUGUCCCACAGCAUCUAAGCCAUCCGUCUCCCCCACUAGACUGUCGGCUCCUCACCGUCAGGGACUGGGUUUCUCUCUUCUGCUGCUGCCAGAUAGAAUGCACGGGGCCAACUUACACUCAUUGUUUACCUGAAGUUCAUAUUUAACUCACAUCCUGCAUUGUUAUUUGCUAAAUUUGGCAACUCUAACUGCUGUACUCCCGGGACCCAGCUCUGUGCCUGGCCAGAACAGGACCUCCGGCAGAUACCAGUGGAAAUAAUAAUGGCAAGGAUGGGGGGUGGCCAGGCGCUGGGGGGCACAGAGGAGAGGCAGCAGGCUCCCAGUGAAGGGAACACCUGGGCCAAAGCAGAUGGAGUUAUUAUGUCAAAGCAUCGUUGGGACACCUCCUGUAGUGGGUUGAAUAAUCCAUUGCCAUCAAGUCGAUUCCGACUCAUAGUGACCCUAUAGGACAGAGUAGAACUGCCCCACGGGGUUUCCAAGGAAGGGCUGGGUAGAUUGAACCUUUUGGUUAGCUGCCGAACACCUAACCACAGUGCCAUCAGGGCUCCAGUGGGUUGAGUAGUGUCUCCUAAAAAGACAUGUCCAAGGAUUGAACUUGGGAACAUCACGCUGAGUGAAAUAAGUCAGACACAAAAGGACCAGUGUUGUAUGGCCCCACUUACAUGAAAUAUCUAGGAUAGGCAAGUGUAUAGAGUCCAAAGUUUAUUAGU